UGAGUGCUGGAGUUCAAGGAGCAUCUGGACAGCGCUCUCAGACAUAGGGUUUGGAUUUUGGGUGGCCCUGCGCGGAGCCAGGAGUUGGACUUGAUGGGGAAGGCAGAAGAUGGCCCUGGGCAAUGUGUGAUUUCCUUCAUGACAGGCAGUGGUUACCAGGCAGGAGUAUGAGAGCAGUUUGUCGUCAGAGGGGUCAGCUCACACCUUGUUUUGGGGUUGGUUAGGGGCUGAGCUAGCUCACAAGUGGUAAGGUAGAAACUAGAAAAGCUGGGUGAGUGCCGGAAGCAGAACAGAAAAGGUCAUCGUGUGUGUAUUUGUGUAGGAGAUUAAAUUGAGCAGGGGCAGGCAGGGCAGACAUCUGAGUGAACCUGCGUGUAUUGGAGGUGAUGGACAGAGAACAUUCUGGAACGUUUCAAGCUGUAAAAGGUGACGGUCUUUGUGGAGAAACGGUGGGUUGGAACUCCCAGUGUGUGACAUUAAGAGGAAUGAGAUACUUCUCUCACAUCCUUUUCUUUUGUCUUUGCUGGUUGAAAUACUAAGUUCCAGCAUUACAGCUAGUGCUCUCCUUACCACAAAUAUGAGUUUUAUAUCAAAAGAGAGCAGAGAAAACAAACUGUCCCUGCCUCUUGGAGGAAGCAGAGAUUGCUUGGAGAUGACAUGGUGCUGCAGUACUUCUGUACAUUCCAGCGGUGAGCAAUGGGGUCCUGUUUAGUAGAUUAUGUAGAUGUCUGUGAUUAUUCAUCCAGGUUAAACUUUUAUUCACUAAUCGCACUCUCUCUAAUAGGUGUUUUUACUUCUGGCUCUGUUUUGUUUUACCUUGAUUUGAGCACUGCUUUUUUUACACCGUGCUAAUUUGUGGUUUCUUUCACUGAUGGGGAACAGCUGGAGCUGUAGUAAUGCAUGCGCACAUCUGCGUAGGUAUGUUAGAGACCAGAACUUGGGGCAAGAUUGUAGGCAGCCUUUGAAACAAACAUGCCAGGGAAAAAUCUUCACAUGCAACAGAUACAUGCAAAUGCACCUCACUGCUUUGUGUGCACCCAUGUGAGUACAUUCUUGAUUUGAAAGCGUACCAAGGUGCUUGUAAAAUACCUGCUAUAGCAUAUGAUCAUUAGAUGACUAGAUGACUUAGUUAUGCCUACAUUGAUCCCUGUUAUUGCUGUCUAGAUUUCCCUUGACAUAUGCUUCAUUCUACUUAAUUUCACUUUGAUUUUACUUUAUUACUGUAUGGGUGAGAAUUAUUUUGGUUGCUUUAAUGCAAUAAUUCUUUUCUUAUUUGGACUUACUUAUACUUCUAUUUUUAAAGGAAGGAACAUUCAUUAUGUUUUCUUCUGAAUUUCCAUUUUGCAUGUUAACAUUUACAGCUUGUAGGGUGGUUUCAUCUGUGCCAUCUGCGUGCCAUAUUGUACAUCAGAUGGUGGGAUACAAUCCGUAACAAGAACGUUUUGGGACGUUAAAGUCUUUCAGGAUUUGAAGUAAUGAUAUUCACAGCACGAAUGUGUGGAGCCGCUCAUAUAACUGAAAUAGAAGACGCGGAAUGCCAAAGCAGCUGCCGAGUGAAAGAGAGACCACACAGUUGGGGCAGCAUACAAGCAGCGAGGACAAAAGAACGUUUGAGGGAACAAGAAAGUGCAACUUCAGGCAGUGGGAAACUGGAGUCAAUCGCUGGGAAUUAUUGACAAGCAGCCAUGCGCCCACACAGAGAUUAGAGGCUCACUUAGGGAUGCAAUGUCAGCUAAUACUAUGUAAAGAGUCAGUAGCAAAAAGGCACCUGGCUUGGUGUUUUCUGAUCCCUGACUAGGCAACUUUGUCAUUUAUUGUUGGGCUUUAGACAUGUUCACAGUCACGAAGCAAGCAAGACAACAUCACCUGUACUAUAUUCUUGUUACAAAGGACUGCCUAAGAGCUAACGAUGACGUUACAGUUUGCGCAAGGAUUGAUAGGGCCCAGUGGAACUCCAGAUGCUGAUAGAAGCACAAGCUAUUAAGAAUGUAACACUAAGUGCAGAAAAUGGCCCUGAAUUCGCUGUGGAUCCAAGAUGUGGAAACUGGGCACUUUACAGAUUCGCCGGAUAUCUGCUCCUGGUGUCUGAGUCCUCUCUACAUCUGCCCUGAUUGUCAGCACCAGGGACUUGAACAUUGUGUAGAAGGAAACUUGAAAAUCACAAGACUUUGAGGUAUUGAUUUCCAAAUAAAACUGAGGGUGAAGAGAAAAGCACACUGUGAGCAGAAGGUGAAACGGAAGGAAAUCCUAUUGACAGUGAGAGCUGAAAGUGGAUACUAGAAGUAGCUUGUAAAAUCCUUCAAGCGGUACUGCCAGGGAGGGAACCAGAAAUUAAUGACAUUGUUUUUGCCAUGUGUGGAUGGACAAGAAAGGGAAACAGGUAAACACAGCACUUGUUACUGGUUGAAACAGUCUUCUCUGGCUUCAUCAAACGCUUUGGUCUACUACCUGCUCU